AACGAACGCUGGCGGCAGGCCUAACACAUGCAAGUCGAACGCUCGUAGCAAUACGGGAGUGGCAGACGGGUGCGUAACACGUGGGAACAUACCCUUUGGUUCGGAAUAACUCAGGGAAACUUGAGCUAAUACCGGAUACGCCCGAGAGGGGAAAGAUUUAUUGCCGAAGGAUUGGCCCGCGUCUGAUUAGCUAGUUGGUGAGGUAACGGCUCACCAAGGCGACGAUCAGUAGCUGGUCUGAGAGGAUGAUCAGCCACACUGGGACUGAGACACGGCCCAGACUCCUACGGGAGGCAGCAGUGGGGAAUAUUGGACAAUGGGCGCAAGCCUGAUCCAGCCAUGCCGCGUGAGUGAUGACGGCCUUAGGGUUGUAAAGCUCUUUUACCUGGGAAGAUAAUGACGGUACCAGGAGAAUAAGCCCGGCUAACUCCGUG
rnacentral:rRNA from 1 species